rnacentral:rRNA from 1 species
GACGAACGCUGGCGGCGCGCUUAACACAUGCAAGUCGAGCGAAGCGGCGGACGGGUGAGUAACACGUGAGUAACCUGCCUUAGACAUUGGGAUAGCCUCGGGAAACCGGGCUUCAUACCAAAUGGUCUAAGAUGGACUCGCGUCCCAUUAGCUAGUUGGUGGGUAACGGCCCACUAAGGCGACGAUGGGUAGCCGGCCUGAUGGGGUGAGCGGCAGCAUUGGAAGUGAGACACGGGGCAAACUCUAGGGGAGGCAGCAGUGGGGAAUAUUGCACAAUGGAGGGAACUCUGAUGCAGCGACGCCGUGUGAACGAAGUAGGCUUUCGAGUCGUAAAGUUCUUUUAUAUGGGAAGCGGUACCAUAAGAAAAAGCCACGGCUAACUACGUGCCAGCAGCCGCGGUAAUAC